CUGCUCCUACAUUUCCCUGCCCGACUCUGCCGGAUGCACUGGCGUGGGGCCGGCUGGCUGACGACUGUACGCUGAUCCCCAUCAGGACCCUGUGCAUUAUCUCACCAUAUCUCACCCUCACUUCAAAGGUCUCGGCAGGCAGAGGUGACGCCAGGAGAUGAUUUAAAGGUGAAGAUGACAAGCUUUCCACCUCCCAGAGCCUGGCUCCUUUUCUGACAAUACCGAUGUCUUCUUUCCUGGGAAAAUAGGGUCGGAAGAGAAGAACAUUUUUUUUUUUUAAAUUUCUGAUUGAGAAGACUGUUCUGAAGCUCUUCCUUUUUAGCAUCUCAAAAUUGUGGCACAGAUGGAUUUUAAAAAGUGUUAGAUCUUUCCAAUGAACACUCAUAGAGUGCUCUGCUCUUGGCUGGAUUUUUUCAGGUAAGAAGCCUCUUUAAAGAUUUAAGGUUUCAGAAAGCAGAUUUGAAACAUAUUCAAACCCUGUGUAGAGAACUGUGAACGGCUGGAUGCAUUAUUUGGGGAGACACUUAUUAGCACGGAGACAAGCUCUCCUUAAGAGAGUGAGCCAGGAGACUGUUAUGCAGGAGCCUCGGAAGUAACACUGAUAAUUAAAGAAGUUAAAUGGGAAAAGGGAAGAGUUGCAAAUAUCCGUUUUGAGUGCUAAAAUCUAUGUGGGUGAAGAAAUGAGAAGGGAAACAGUCAAUAAAGAACUAUUAAGUUUUGAUGGUGGUGGGAUUUUUUUUCAAGUUCAGAUUCAUUCUCGUUGCCUUUCAGCAGCGAUUUGGGAGCAGCGACUGUGUACAGCCGUCACCCAUGUUUUGUCUCCUGUAAUGUUUGGGUAUUGUGAAAAGGCCCUCGAGGUACUCAUUUUAGGGUUUGCAGGAGGGUGUUGCCAUGGGUUUCUACCAGGAGAAUGCACCUGUGUUGCCCUGACAGUUCUGAAAACAAUAAGGGGAAGUAUGUUGUAUACAAAAGUAAACAGUGGGCCGUGCAUCUAAUUGGAAAGUGAGUGGUCCAUCUGAGUCACAGACCCGGCCUGGGUGGCAACGGGCUGUUGGAAAUAACGUGUCCCUACUUUGCACUUAAUUAUACUGUCAGCGUUUAUCUAUCUAUUAUAGUCCUCAAGCCUUCUCAGAGGCCACAGCUCUCUUCCUAAACCCACAAAUUAUCCUGUAUUAUGUGUAGUACAUAUGGGUAUAGUGUAUAUUUUUGCUUUCUGAACAUCACAGUUUUUGAAAAAGUGCCAAUUUAGAAUAAAGAAGCCACACUGGGAGGUCACUAGCAGGUUUUCAACAUAUAUUUGAAAUUCUCCGAGGGUAUCAUUUGACAGUGGAAAGGAAAGAGAGAAACGAUCUUGGUUUCACAGCCUUUCUGCUUAAGAGAAAAGCAUGUUGUUCUUGUAAAGCAUGGAUUCUUGCAUAGAAAAUGCCUCCUAUCACAGGCUGAAUAAAGGCCAUGCUUCAAGUUUGAUUAAUCUGGCAAUAUGAAAUGCAGCAUAAGGUGUUGUUUGAGAAAUUGGACAAUAUGUAGCGCAGUUGAGCCUCGGUAGCUCCUGUGAGCCUCAUAGGUGCAGAUAAGACUGUCAAAGUUUCAGCGCCUGAGAAAAGGUAUAUGUUCAUCCAUAAAUACAUAACCACCUGUGUAUGCAUAUUCAUCAGCACUCUACAACAAAUGCCACGGUGGAGUCUUAGGAGGCAAAGAAAUACUGUAAAUUACGGUUUGCUCCAGGAUAGAAGCAUAAGAUCUUGCAUCUGCAACUCAUUCUGGCUGAAGACAAUUCCUUCUGAUUUUAAGUCCAGCCAGAAAGAUCAGUUCUAUCGGGAGAUUACAACAUGCCUCUGAGAAAUGAUUACUUGGUUUAGAAGACGGCAUUGUGAUUAAAAAUUCAUGACUGUAGAAUUAAAAAAAAAAAAGAAAAAGAACCCACUCUUUCCUUUAAGGCUUAUGUCAGACUUGCAAUGAAGUUAGAAUGAACAGGAGCCUGAGCUUUUCAAUGCUGGAAUGACGGCAGUUUUCAAAUUGUUGUGUGAAACAGGAUUGCUAGUUGGCAUAUGAUGCUUCCAACUGCCUAAUUGAUAGUCAGAAACUUUAUUUUUGUAUUUUUUUUUGGCAAUCCUUGGAGUUUUAUUUUGUAGCAUUUAAAAAAAAAUGUAUGUACGAUCUUCUGGAAAAGGUUUUCCCUUGGUCCCACUUCGUGGCAUGACCUCUGCUGGACACUGAUGCUAGCCAGCCAAGAAGCAAAGGAACAUGACCUCCGCGACUCCCUGCCCUCACCAGUGGUCUUGCCUGGACCUGGGGCUUGCAGCAGUGCUAACCUCUCUUGCUGUGUCUUCUCUUUAGAGAAUGGCCAUGGUCUCUGCGAUGUCCUGGGUCCUGUACUUGUGGAUAAGUGCCUGUGCCAUGCUGCUCUGCCAUGGGUCCCUUCAGCACACCUUCCAGCAGCACCACCUCCGCAGACCAGGUAAGGGAGCUGCUCCUUCCUCAGCCC
rnacentral:lncRNA from 1 species